rnacentral:lncRNA from 1 species
CAGCUUCUUAGGAGAGUCAUGCACAGUCAUGUGCUGUGAUGGGUUGGGCACCCUAAUAAAGGAGCUAAUUUAUUUGAAUCUGCUUGGCUGAUUACACAGCACAGGUGUACUGAUGAUCUUGAGAACUUAAGGCUGAACUGAAGCAGAAAAACAGAUAAGAUAGAGGGGAAAAAAAUAAGGAAGAUUCCACGAGGACAAUUUUCAUCACAGUAAAGAGAAUGGCUGCUGAUCCAGGCCAGUAUGUGCAUCACAGGCAGAACUGAAAGACCAGCCUCAGUCAGCUGCUGUGCAGGAAGAAGACAUUGAACAUUUUUUUUAAGCCAUUCCAAUGGGUGUUGUGAAAUCAUACAGCCUUUGCCUACUAGAUAAAACC